AAUAUAUAUAUUUAUUUAUUAUAAGGAAUUUGCUCAUACCAUUAUGGAGGCUGGCAAGUCCCAAGAUCUGCAGGGUUAGUCAGCAAGUUGGAGGCCCAGGUGAGCCAAUGGUUUAGUUCCCAUCCAAGUCUGAAGGCCCAAGACCCAGGAGAUCCCAUGGUGUAAUUCCAGUUUAAAGGCUGACAGACUUAAGACCCAGGAAAAACCAAUAUUUCAGUUUGAGUCUAAAGUAGGAAAAAGGUUGAUGACUCAGUCUGAAGGCUGUCAAGCAGGAAGAAUUCUUUCUGACUUAAGGGAUGGUCAGCUAUUUGGUUCCAUUAGUCCUUCAACUGAUUGGAUCAGGCCCACCCACAUUAGGGAGAGCAAUUUGCUUUAUUCAAUCUGCCAUUUUAAAUGUUAAUCUCAUCUAAAACCCCUAAAGAAAUACUCAGAAUAAUGUUUGACCAAAUAUCUGGGCACCCUAUGGCCCAGGCAAAUUAACUAUCACAGCUCCUGAAUGGAACUGUUUGCUUUUGUACAGUCCUUAAAUAAAAGUUUGUUAUUUGUUGUUUGGCAUGCUCUUAUUUUCACUGUGAAUGAGAAGUUGUGGGGAAAGGCUUUGGGCUGGUAAGAGAAGAGCACAUUAUGGGAUUGGCUUUGAACAGCCUUGAUUCCACCCAUGCAAGCUUUAACCACAGUUAAAAAUAAAGCCACAGUUUUAUUUCUGCAUCUGCCUUCUCAGUAUUUCAUUUAUAUCAGUUUAUAAAGUGAUAGCAUGUAUGGGGUACUUACAUUUCACUCAUCCAUAUUAAAUUUCAAACAUACUUUUGUGAAUAUCCCAGUCUUAAAAUUCACAUUAUUCACAUUGGCUGCUCCCAAGGAAACUUACCAGCAGGAAGGAGAACUGACAUUUAUGGAGGCAGAAGCAUUACAUAUGUUAACUCUUUUUCUUCUUCUUUUUUUGGGGGGCUGCAGUGCACUGCAUGCAGGCCAGACCAGGGAUUGAACCCAUGCCUCCUGCAGUUGAAGCGUGGAGUCUUAACCACUGGACCGGCAGGGAAGUCCUGACUCAUUUAAUCCUUACAAUAAGGAAAUAAUCCUCUAAAUGGCUAGGUAGUAGAACUGGGAGCAUAAAUCUAGUGUAUCUAGCUCUGAAGACAAUACCGUUUUCUUUUGCACUGAAAUACCUUGAAGAUAUGAGAGGCGUGUAGAAUUUUAGCAUACAUAUUUGAUUAGACUUCUUUUUUUAAAGUUAAACCUGAAAAAAAAAAUCCUAAUCCUGGAUAUGCCUUAGUGGUCUUGUUGUGUCUGAACUGAUGAACAACAGUCAGGUUUAAUUAAAUAGCACUCAGAAAAAACCCUGUGCAGGGGCUUUGGGAAACCAGAGGUGGUUCCUCAGACAGAGAACAUUUAGCUUCUCUGACAAAUGUAUUGGAUUAGUUGAUCUUUGAACUCCCCUCCAGGGAGAGGGACAAAUUAGGAGUAUGGGAUUAACAGAUACAAACUAGUAUUCAAAACAUAGAUAGGCUACAGGGACUUACUGUAUCAUACAGGGAAUUAUACACAAUAUCUUGUAAUAACCUAUAUAAUGGAAUAUAAUCUGCAAACAACUACCCCAAAUCACUAUGCUGUACACCUGAAACUAACACAAUAUUGUAAAUCAACUAUACAUCAAUAUAAAUAAAUAGACUCCCUUCCAGUUCCACAAUCCUUUGACUGUAAAUUAUAAACCUCCAGUGAGGCGCGGGACUCUGGCUUCGAGGAAGGUCUACAGGACCAUCAGGGGUCGCCAACUCAGAGUAAUGAAGCAGCUCUGAAUUCAUAACCCCUUGGAGGUCAAGUAGGUUAGCUCUACAUAUUCUACAACUUUCCAGACCGGUGGCCCUGCACGUUGGGCUUUUAACGCCAGAGCGCAGAAGGAAAUCCGACGACCUUAGAGGGAAUCCAGUCUCCACCACUAAAUUCUAAACUCAAAUUUCUUCUCUGCGGCUACCAUCUUCCAUAGGACUACAACUCCCAGCAGGCCACGCCCGAGGCCAAAACUUACUGGCGGCCCUGCCCGGGUUUCUUGCGUUGUGGCAGCCAGUACAGCCAAUAGCAAGGAAGGGCAACCCUCAGGAACCAGUCCUGGAGAGGCAGGGCGGAUCCUUUCAGGGUUCCGGUUCCGACUCCUUCCCCCGGUCGCCCGAGGCGGUGCUGUCCCUGACCGUACGGCUGGAGCUAGGUGGUAUUAUUGCCUUAGAAGAUCACAAUUUUACAACCAUCAUGUAAUGAAUAGAUUCAGGCUGAUUCCUGUUGGGGACAGUGUUCCAGUGGCCUUCAAGGAGCAACCAGCCUAGAGGAAGAGACAGAUGGAAGAGCAGUAGAAAUUUCCAAGACUCGUUACUGGGAAAGGCAAUGAAAUUUCUGUAAGAGUCAGAGAUUUGUUUUCAUAAUUAUCUUCCAUGGGCUGUUUUCCCCUUACAACUGUAUUUUCAUUAUAGAAAACUAUAUGUGUUGCAAUAUAGGUCCCCUCCUAGUUGUAAAGUAUGUCAUAGGAGGGUGGAUUUGCUCACUAACUCUAUGAUAACUAAUCUGCUGAGCAUAACUGCAUCUUAUAAUGAACACAAACAAAAUAUCAAAACUGGGAAGUUUCUUCUUAGAUUAAAAAGGAAACCCAAAACAAAGCCCAAAGUCCUCAUGUGAUAUAUGAGGCCCUACAUGAUCUAGCAUCCUGCCACCUCUCUGCCAUCAUCUCCCUGUCGCCCUAGUCCAGCCAUCCUGGCCUCCUUGCUUGUCCUUCAACACACCAGACAUGGUCCUGCCUUUGUACCUUUGGACUUGCUGUUCUCUUGGCUUAGAAAAGACUUUCCCCCAGAUUAUGUGUAUGAUUUGCUCCCUUACUUCAUCAUUCACAUUUGUUCAAGUAUCAUUCCCUCAGGGAGACCUUCAAAUUAUCUUCUCUAAAAUCAAGCCACCCACCCCACCCUCACAUCCAUCAUCUUCUAUUCUUUGGUUUGCCUUUUCUUCCCCAUAACACAAAUCACCAUCUGAUACUUUAUUAUACAUUUGUUGAUUGUUGAUUGCUCGGUUUUCCCCACCAGAAUGUAAGCUCCAUGAAGGCAAAUCCUUGUUUUGUUUGCUGCUUUAUCCCCAGCCCUAGAACAAUGCCUGGCGCCCAGCAGGUGCUCAAUAAAUGAAUGAAGUGAAACUAAUGGAAAGAUAUGGGUUCCAUGACAGGAAAGGCUUGCACUGGGAACCCUGCACCAGGUGGUUUAGGAGAUGCCGACCAUCAGAGCCAGAGAUGACCUUGAGAAGGGAAGAGAUCCCUGGGAAUUCACAGAAACCUGGGGGGGUAAGUAGCAGACUUUAUGAAGGGGGUGAAAGGGGGAAUAUGGAGUAAUUCUGACACCUGCAUCACACACACAUUCUCUUAUUUCAUCUUAAUAUCACAACAGAUGAGGAAACUGAAGAUCAGAAAGGUGAAGUGACUUACCC